AUUCUCUUUAAUAAUACAAAUAGGCUUCUUAUACAUGAAAAAGACUCAGAAUUUCUUUCAUUCUUUUAAAGAAAAUCAUUUUUUUUUCACAAAUCCGAAUUGGCAGCUGAAAAAUUUUCUUUAUGAAAACCUUACUUGUAAUUUCAUUUAGUGUAUCGCGUAAAAUAAAGUUAAAGAAAAAAAAAUAUUCUUAUAAAAAUUAGAAAAUAAGAUGAGCAUUCUUUUCAUGCAACUAUCGUUCUGAUAGAAAAUGGAGGCAUGGUGUUUUUGUCAUUUUGCCAGAAGGCUAAAAAGUAUCAUCACCUUUCAAUACAAAAGUAUUCUUUUUCCUCGCAGGUGGAACGAUUUCAGUUGUUUUAACAUUGAUAAAAAUGCCAGUUAAUCGCUUCUGGUUGGUGUGUUUGUUUGUAGAAUUUGUUCAAAGUUCUUUUGAUUCCGAGAAAUGCUGUUUCCGGCUCGAGACCCGAUUCCACUGAAGAACCGUCGUGUUAGCGGGCCUGGUGUAUGCCAAACCCACCGGAGCCAAAGUCCUCUCGCUGGUGUGCCGUAGAAGCUUGGAGAGGGAGUGCCAGCCCAGGCGACCGCCCUGCCACCACUAAACGAGGCAGCAUCGACAGGAUUUGUUGUGGCCGAUUGCUGUUUUUAACAUAACUCAUCCAUAUUACAGACAAAUUCUCCGAACUGGUAUCCUCUCCGAAGCAGUUGGUCCUAAGCCACAGGUGGUCAAUCCCUGACCUUUCUUCUAAUCUUCCCCUACAUUUGUCAUCACGUUUAAAGACCAGCAGAUCAACACUUUGAGAAAACCUUCUUGAAAUUCUCUGUUUUUCUCCAAAUGCUGUGACAAUAUACUGUUGUCGAAAACAUACCACAAUCAAUUUAUUGUAAAACUAGCCGCCUUUGGCGACCAGCCGGUUCGCCAGCAUUACCGCUCGCUACAAUUUUCAGUUAAAUAUUUUAAGUAACUGGUCUCUUAAUAGAUUCUCAAACAAAACAUUUUUAAUCUUUAAAUUUUGAUAGUCAUA